AGCUUAUAAAACGCAUCUUUUCCCGACAUGCGGAUGCAAUGCCCUACCUACAAAGUAGAUUGCAAUUCUGUUAAAAAAGGGUUUACCAAAGUCUUGCUUUGGUUUCAAAAUUGCGGCUCAUUUUUGAAAGUUUGGUUGCUCCUGCUUUCAAGAUUAUCAGCGUAAAGUGUAAAUAUAUCUAAUUAAUCGACAAUGUCUACAUAAUAGCAUUGUGUGUGGACUAUCAGUGAAUAUAAAUAUGAUAAGGGUGGGGUUCGUCAAUUUCUUUUUUUUAUUAUUGAAUAGCUUUUCAUAAUGUAUUAAUAAGCUUUUGCGAGUGCUUGGAAUAAACUCUGCCACUACAGGGCAAUAGAAGUCUCGUUUAUUGGGUAUUGUUGACAAUCGCAAAAUCAAUACUUUGAUGGCUUAAUCAAUUUCGACACGAUCGAUCAGUAAAAUAACGGCAUGAAGUUUAUUUAGCAUUUUUCUCGUUAUCAGAGGUUUAUUAUCAAAAAGUACAGUAUUUAUGUGUGUAUAGUGCGGUCCUGUACAAUUAAUAUCAGACUUAUUUCUCAAUUAUUUGUCAAAACUUUAUCUCGAAUUUGCUACAUAUGUGCAAUAACUGAGACGUACAUAUUUGUAUGUAAAGAAUUAUGGAAAAGUCACGGAAUUUGUUGUUGGUACACAGCACAGAAUGAAAAUGAGUUCGAAGUAAAGUUUCACAGACAAGUAACGUUUGAAAAAAAGAAUUGAUGGACAGACAGACAUAAAUAAGAAUUCGCGGAUGUACUUUGCAAACCUGUUUUCAUCCGUUAUGCGGCGCAUGCGGCGAGGCUUAGUGUUCAUAAAUUUACAUAAAAAUCUUUCGUCGUCUUUAUGGUGAGUAGACAAAUAAAAUGCUUUCUGAAGUAAAAAUUUAGGUGGGGUAGGUUACCAAGUUCCCAUAACGAACUCAACUCACUUAUAAUUUUACCGCACGGUUUUGUGAACCGUAGCAGAUAGAGUGAAAUUUUGCAUAACCAUAAAAAUAAUAUUAAUAAAAAUUAAUUAUAAAAAUUUCCCUCGUAACGAAAAGAGCGUAAUCAUGACCAGUCAUAUAUACACGAGUACAAAUAAAUUUUAGUUAGUUGAGUAAGAGUUAUAAGCUUAUCCAAGCAUUUUUUUUUUUUUUUUAAUAAAUGUACAGUUGUCUACGAAAGCGGUUGCAAUCGCUUUACAACGAACACAUUAACCGGUGAUAGAAGCAGAGCAAAUAAAAAUUCAAAUUGAAAUAAUAAUAAUAAUAAAAAAAAUAAAAAUAAAAAAAUAGAAUGGCAAUGACACUUUAGUCACACAAACGCGAGCUAACGAUAUGAGCUGGCGAAGACAGAAAGAAGAAGAAAAAAAAACUUGUAAUAAAAUUGUGUAAAAAAAAUAUCCAAGGAAUAUAAGUAAAUAUAUACUCGGCGCACAUGUAUUAGUAAGCAAUUAUUAUUAUUCUGCUAACACUUUCCCUGCUAAAUGUUAAUCCGCAAUAUUGCGGCCUUUUCAUAAUAAUAACCUUUCUAUUGAUAUGGAAAUUAUCCACAAGAAGCACAUUUCAUUUCCAUACCGACCGGCGAAUGUGUGUUGGCUUGAUUUUACCAAUUAAAAAUUAAUUAUUAAAUAUAUAUAUUUAUAUAUAUAUGGAUUUCUUUUUUGCAAAUUAUUUCUUAUAUAUUGAAUUUUCUUUCAAGCACGUAAAUGGCCGUUGGACGAUGAGUUAGAUUUACUAAUCAUCGAUUGCAAAAAGUAGAAAGUUUUUCUAUAUAUAUUUCUUUUUUCUUUUUUUAGUUAAAGUGAUGAUAAACUAUUAUUUUUUUCUUUUUCUACCAUACUCAACACACACUACCACUUCUCGGGAGUAUGUAACGUUUCUGUGAAUGCUUGUGAUCAUGUGAUGUAGCGAUUACCUUGUCCUCGGUCCGUCCGACUAGUUAAAAAUCAAAUCAAUUGACAUUUGCAUUUUAUAUGAGAAUCACGUUGUUUGGCAACAGUCAGUCGCGUGGAAUAAGUUUGUUAAAUUUAUAAUAUUAAAUAUAUUCAUUCUUUUAAUAAAUAGUUGUCAUAUUCAAAAUAAUAAAAUAAGUACGUACAGAGAAGUAACUUUUAAAAAUGAUGACAGCAGCCAGCAAAUGCCAAAAGUUAUGCGUUGAAAAAGUCAAGAUAAAAUUGUAACUUCCCUGAAUCCUAACUAAGGUCGUAGCUAUAAUGAAGGCUUCCAUUAGGCGGCGACCAUCUUUCUAUCUCCGUCUCUUUCGUCACUUCAUUCUGACUGCCGCCAUGUGUUACAUGAAGAGGGGACAUGCCCUGAAUGGUGGGUCAUAUUAAAGAAAAAAAGUCGUCACAACUCAUAAAUCGAAAAUUUAUCGAAUCAAAAAGAAAAACAUAAGCGAACGAAGGAAGAUUCGUUAAGAGAGUCUGGUCGGUCGUCAUCUGAAUUAAAUGCAAGACAAUUAUGCAUCAUAUCAGUCUGAUAGGAGAUGUAUAUAAGAACGCUUGGCGUGCUUAGGAUUGAUUAGGCAAGCAGUGAAUUAAGCAUAAAAAUGCCGGAACCUCCGGUACUUCCAAGUAACAGGAAAAUGUUUAAUUCUAUAGCCACAAUCAGAAACGACUCCAACAGCUUCGCCUGCAUCUUCUAAAUUCGUAGCAGUAGCUUGCAAAGUAGUAGUUAGAAAUCAAUCCACAUAAGACAUUAGACUGUAACUUUUCAAAAAUUAUAGAAAAAAGUUGUUUGAGGUAAGUUAUUCGUUUCCAUAUUCUAGAAGGUAUCUCUAAGACCAAUCGAAAAAAUAUUUCGAAAAUAAACAGUGACCUCUUUGUUACAAUGCGGAAGAACAAGAUAAUCAUAUAAGCUUGUGAUGAAAGCCGAUGGGAAAACUAAGUUGCUUUUAUUUUAAAAACUUUAGUUUAGUUGUGUUGUGUAUUUGUGUGUUCGCCGCUGUGUAAUUGGUAAAAUAAAUGUAUGUAUAUGACUACCUCACGUGGACAGCAUUUGUCGUGAAAGCGGUAAAGUUUUUCUAGGCGUAGCGGUUUAUCCUCAGAACUGAAGGAGGGCCAAACAUCGCCAGAGCUAUCCAUGAACUAGCCAAGAAGAUAAUAUUUGGUCGUUUAACCAUUCAAGUGUAUAUCUGCGCCCUAAUAAAAAAUUCUGCACAAAGCAAUGACCGGCAAGGAACCCAAUACAAGAAAAGAAAGCAAAAGAACGUUGGGAAUUGCUGCAUAUUUUCAGGAUACAAACAACAGCAUUGUCUACUCAACUUCAAUGAAAGAGAUGCACUGCGGAUGCUUUCUAGAGAAAGGAAAGAGAAAGAACGACGCCAAGUGCCAUAAGAUGACAAAUGGAUCUCAGCUGUCACACUUGCUGAAUAGAGUCUGAUGUUGCCGAAUAACGAUUGCUAAUAAGUUGUAAUUUGUCUUCAAGACGAGGUGAUUGAAUUUAAUUUGUAUUAUUACACCGCUCAGCGAAGAAUGGCAGGUAUACUCCUUUUCCCAAGACAUUCGUAAUUCGACACUUCUAAGACCCCAUAAAGUAUAUAUAUUCUUGAGCAGCAUUUGUCGCCAUAAAAUUUUUAAUUUAUACCCUAUAGUAAGUAUAUGAAGAUGAGAGACAUGGACCACGCCCACUCAAGUAGGCAUUCGAAAUUUAAUUUUUCUGUUGUUGUGUUUUAAGGAAAAAGGUUGAGGGGAAUGAAAAAUUCGAUCAUAGCCGAAUAUAAUUCUUUUUUAUUUAUUUCGUUUAUUAUUUAUUUACCGCUCUUCACAUAUUAACACUUUCUUUAUAUAUCUUAUAAUUGCUUUUCAUUUUGUUUGCUUUACUGUUCAUUAAUCAUGACUGAUGCGAGAUUUGCAGCAAUCACGAAAAAUGAAAGAAAAUUUAGGAAAAAACUCUUUUUUUAGCAAGAAAUUAUUGCGUAAUAUUAAAUUUAAUUUGAUUUUUUUGUUAUGAUAAUUAUAAAGUCAUUAGUGUACGGAAAACUUAAACAGAUAUAUACGUACUCAUGUGUUCAUGCCUCCAUUUAAAGAUAAAAUUA